UACGAACUGUGCGAACGUUAUUCGGAAUCACUGGGCUUACAGGGUGCGUAGGCGGCUUGUUAAGUAGGAUGUGAAAGCCCUCGGCUCAACUGAGGAAGUGCACCCGAAACUGGCGAGCUUGAGUACGAAAGAGGAUCGCGGAAUUCCCGGUGUAGAGGUGAAAUUCGUAGAUAUCGGGAGGAACACCGGCGGCGAAGGCGGCGAUCUGGGUCGAUACUGACGCUGAGGUGCGAAAGCGUGGGGAGCAAACAGG
rnacentral:rRNA from 1 species